AACUUUCAGCAUUCUAAAGGACUAUUUAGAUAAUGUCUCCGAAAUGCAAUACCAAGCAUGCUAUAAAUAUCCAGGAGCAGGUGCCCAUGGCUAAAUGGCUGCCUGGGAGCACACUAGAUUGUUUCUGUCUAGAAGGAGUAUGAUUUUAUCAUCAUGAGAUACUUGGCUGCUCUUAUGAUGGGUCCAGUGAUGUUCUGUUACUCUGAACCUGGCUUGAUUCCACACUAUCAUGACUUUCUCCAAGUGAACUUUGGGAGAGAUCAGAUGAACUUCUGUGCAAGCUAUCAGAAUUUUGUCCAGUAUCAGGACUAACA